rnacentral:rRNA from 1 species
UUUUAGUGGCGGACGGGUGAGUAACGCGUGGGUAACCUGCCUCACACUGGGGGAUAACACUUAGAAAUAGGUGCUAAUACCGCAUAAGCGCACGGGACUGCAUGGUCUUGUGUGAAAAACUCCGGUGGUGUGAGAUGGACCCGCGUCUGAUUAGCUGGUUGGCGGGGUAACGGCCCACCAAGGCGACGAUCAGUAGCCGGCCUGAGAGGGUGGACGGCCAUAUUGGGACUGAGACACGGCCCAAACUCCUACGGGAGGCAGCAG